UCACAUUCCGAACCCGGAAGCUAAGACUCUCAGCGCCGAUGGUACUGCAGGGGGGACCCUGUGGGAGAGUAGGACACCGCCGGAC
rnacentral:rRNA from 1 species